CCAAUGGUCCUCAGUUGGUUCUCUUUGUUGAUCUUCGUUCUUCCACUGCCUUCUUCUGUAUCCUAAUUUCUUUAUGACAUCAGCAUAGGGUUCAAGCUUUUCUAAAGCACGCAAACAGAUCUAGGGCGUGAUUUGGUUUGGCGAUAUCUCCACAACCGCUGGCGGUGCCUACAGUGACGGAUAACACAUUUUUAAAUUAGAAACUAAAUCAAGUUAUCUAGGGUUUCUUUCUUCUUUUCUAUACUUGUAACCACCGCAAAAGGUUCUAAUAAAUACAAUCUUAUUUUACAAUAUCAACAGUUCUCAUGAUCUACUCUGCUUCCUGUAUCUAUUCGCCGACUUGAAGGUGUUUUGUAAGCAACCAAACGUCUUCAUCUGUUCGAAGAAGAGUGGCAAAGGAAAAAAGGUAUGGAAAGGGGGAAAUAGUUCUGGAAGAGUAUUGGUAUUGGUAUUGGAUCUAACCUGAGAGAGGCUAUUAAAGGUAUUGUUGUUAUAUAGUUUUUACAAUAUCAGUUGUUUGUUUUUAGUUUCCAUUUUGUUAUGCUGUUGAGUUGUUAAAUUGGUUGAAUGAAUUUAAGAUGUGUGUUAGAUGAAUAUGAAAAAGAAUAGAUGAAUUUGAAUCAAAUGGAUUGUUACUAUGAAAUGUGGAUUGAUUAUUUGUGAAAACCAGAAUACAUAUUCGAUGAGGAGAAUGUAUAUAUUGUAUCUGUUGUAUAUUUGUUGGUUUAAUGAUUGAUUUUUGACUUAUUUGUUCUUAUUGAGUUAGUUGUUGUUGGUAUUGGAAAUGCAUAUGCCACUCACUAUUGAUGUUACUACAUCAUUUUGAGGUUUUUAAAGUGCUAACAUCAUGUCAUCUUCCUCGUCUUUCUGUGAACAAAGAUGAGGAAAGAGUGUCAAAGUAGAACUAGAUGGAAAGCGGAUCCUGCCUAGAUAGAAACGCGCGUGGUUCUAUUACCAGUUAGUUAAAAAUAAUUAAAUGUUCGGGUCAAACAUGUUAGGUUCGGGUCAACCUGUAAACUCGAGUCGUGUUCAGAUUGGUGUGUCUAACACAUUCUUCAGGUUCGGGUCUAAAAACUAUUACAUAGCUUUGUAUUUGUUUUUCGGAUGGAUGGAGUGAUAAAUGAUUAAUUCUUUGUUUGUAUAAGAUUAUGUUGUCAGAGUUUGCAUUUGAAUAAACUAACAUGAGUUUAUGAUGUUGGUAUUAGAGGAAAUCUUGUUGUGAAAAGGCAGUCACUGCUUCCGUGAGUUCUUUCUGUUAGUGAAAGAGAAAGUGUUCUCAAGACACUUUUUAAACCUCCUUUGUUGAACCUGAAACUGAACCUCUUUUGGGAGUAAAUGCAGAAAAAAAUAUGCACAAGUGGUUUGAAUGCGGCAGAAAGCUCUUAAGGUGCCAGGUGCUGUAGAGUUGUAUAACAAGGUUAUUAGUCAAACCAAUCCACAACCAAAACCUCAUAUAUGGGAUUUUGUUGUAUUUCCUUUCUCUUAUGCUGUUAUGCAACAACAUUGAGUUGAUGUUACACCAGUAGGAAAGUGGCGAGUCAGAUCAAUUGGGUAACGGGUCAUAGAUGUAUUUCAUAGCACAUGUUAAAUAAGCAAUUGUUAAUGAUUAAGAUAUUUGGACUUUUGUAUAGUUAUUAAGUUAAACUUCUAUAUUUUACUGGUUUUCGAAGACGAAAUAUCAUCUUUCUAGGGAAAAUCGUGUGCUCUCCUUCUGGUGCAAUGCUUGGAAAAACUUCUCUUGUUUAUUAUAAAGAGGAUGGGGAAGAAGAUCUGUUUGUAGGUUUACCAAAUGUGGCGAGGAUCAAGAGUAUGUGGAACAUUUGUUUGUGACAUGUGGUUUCGCUCAAACGGUAUGUAAUUUAGUAUCGCAAUGGUGUAAGCUCCCUCCAAUUUAUGCGUUCCAGGUAAGAGAUCUUCUUGAUUUGCAUCUGUACGUAGACGGGUCGGCGAAGACUAAAAAGGUUAUUCAAGCUAUUUGCCACAUGGUUUUCUGGUGCAUUUGGAGGUGUCAAAAUGAAGCGGUUUUAAAUCAAGGGCAAAUCUCGAUGCAAGAGAUUAUGGGAGAUGUAAAGGGGCUGUCAUUUUUGUUGAUUAAAGCGCAUCCCAAACAGUUGAACUUAGAUUGGGAUAUAUGGGGUAGUUUUAAUGUUCAUAGAGUUAGGUGGUAGUGCUUGAAUGUAACAUGUAUUGUAUCUGAUGUACUAUUUUUGUAUAAGCUAGCAACCUGCUAGCUUUUUGGUUUGCAAAUAAAUUGAUUGGCAAUUCAAAAAAAAAAAAAAAGCA